GAUGAACGCUGGCGGCGUGCCUAAUACAUGCAAGUCGAGCGAACAGACGAGGAACUUGCUCCUCUGACGUUAGCGGCGGACGGGUGAGUAACACGUGGAUAACCUACCUAUAAGACUGGGAUAACUUCGGGAAACCGGAGCUAAUACCGGAUAAUAUAUUGAACCGCAUGGUUCAAUAGUGAAAGACGGUUUUGCUGUCACUUAUAGAUGGAUCCGCGCCGCAUUAGCUAGUUGGUAAGGUAACGGCUUACCAAGGCAACGAUGCGUAGCCGACCUGAGAGGAUGAUCGGCCACACUGGAACUGAGACACGGUCCAGACUCCUACGGGAGGCAGCAGUAGGGAAUCUUCCGCAAUGGGCGAAAGCCUGACGGAGCAACGCCGCGUGAGUGAUGAAGGUCUUCGGAUCGUAAAACUCUGUUAUUAGGGAAGAACAAAUGUGUAAGUAACUAUGCACGUCUUGACGGUACCUAAUCAGAAAGCCACGGCUAACUACGUG
rnacentral:rRNA from 1 species